GACGAACGCUGGCGGCGUGCUUAACACAUGCAAGUCGAACGAUGAACUUGGAGCUUGCUCUGGGGGAUUAGUGGCGAACGGGGGAGUAACACGUGAGUAACCUGCCCUGGACUCUGGGAUAACUUCGAGAAAUCGGAGCUAAUACCGGAUAGGACCUUGCACCGCAUGGUGUGGGGUGGAAAGUUUUUCGGUUUGGGAUGGACUCGCGGCCUAUCAGCUUGUUGGUGAGGUAAUGGCUCACCAAGGCGUCGACGGGGAGACGGCCUGAGAGGGUGACCGGGCACAGGGGGACUAAGAAACGGCCCAGUCUCCUCCGGGAGGCAGCAGUGGGGAAUAUUGCACAAUGGCGCAAGCCUGAUGCAGGAACGCCGCGAGCGGGAUGACACCCUCCGGGUUGUAAUCCGCUUAUAGCAGGGAAGAAGCCUUCGGGUGACCGUACCUGCAGAAAAAGGACCGGCUAACUACGUGCCAGCAGCCGCCGUAAGAC
rnacentral:rRNA from 1 species